rnacentral:rRNA from 1 species
GACGAACGCUGGCGGCGUGCCUAAUACAUGCAAGUUGAGCGCCGAAGGUUGGUACUUGUACCCACUGGAUGAGCAGCGAACGGGUGAGUAACGCGUGGGGAAUCUGCCUUUGAGCGGGGGACAACAUUUGGAAACGAAUGCUAAUACCGCAUAAAAACUUUAAACACAAGUUUUAAGUUUGAAAGAUGCAAUUGCAUCACUCAAAGAUGAUCCCGCGUUGUAUUAGCUAGUUGGUGAGGUAAAGGCUCAUCAAGGCGAUGAUACAUAGCCGACCUGAGAGGGUGAUCGGCCACAUUGGGACUGAGACACGGCCCAAACUCCUACGGGAGGCAGCAGUAGGGAAUCUUCGGCAAUGGACGAAAGUCUGACCGAGCAACGCCGCGUGAGUGAAGAAGGUUGUCGGAUCGUAAAACUCUGUUGGUAGAGAAGAACGUUGGUGAGAGUGGAAAGCUCAUCAAGUGACGGUAACUACCCAGAAAGGGACGGCUAACUACGUG